GACGAACGCUGGCGGCGUGCUUAACACAUGCAAGUCGAACGGUAAGGCCCUUCGGGGUACACGAGUGGCGAACGGGUGAGUAACACGUGGGUGAUCUGCCCUGCACUUCGGGAUAAGCCUGGGAAACUGGGUCUAAUACCGGAUCGGACCACUGCCUGCAUGGGUGGUGGUGGAAAGCUUUUGGGGUGUGGGCUGGGCCCGCGGCCUAUCAGCUUGUUGGUGGGGUGAUGGCCUACCAAGGCGACGAGGGGUAGCCGGCCUGAGAGGGUGACCGGCCACACUGGGACUGAGAGACGGGCCAGAGUCCGACGGGAGGCAGCAGGGGGGAAUAUUGCACAAUGGGCGGAAGCCUGAUACAGCGACGCAGCGUGAGGGAGGACGGCCUUCGGGUUGUAAACCUCUUUCAGCACCGACGAAGCGCAAGUGACGGUAGGUGCAGAAGAAGGACCGGCCAACUACGUGCCAGCCGCCGCCGUAA
rnacentral:rRNA from 1 species